rnacentral:rRNA from 1 species
GACGAACGCUGGCGGCGUGCUUAACACAUGCAAGUCGAACGGAAAGGCCCUGCUUUCGUGGGGUGCUCGAGUGGCGAACGGGUGAGUAACACGUGAGUAACCUGCCCUUGACUUUGGGAUAACUUCAGGAAACUGGGGCUAAUACCGGAUAGGAGCUCCUGCUGCAGGGGGGGGGUCGGAAAGUUUAGGCGGUUGGGGAUGGACUCGCGGCUUAUCAGCUUGUUGGUGGGGUAGUGGCUUACCAAGGCUUUGACGGGUAGCCGGCCUGAGAGGGUGACCGGCCACAUUGGGACUGAGAUACGGCCCAGACUCCUACGGGAGGCAGCAGUGGGGAAUAUUGCACAAUGGGCGGAAGCCUGAUGCAGCAGCGCCGCGUGCGGGAUGACGGCCUUCGGGUUGUAAACCGCUUUCGCCUGUGACGAAGCGUGAGUGACGGUAAUGGGUAAAGAAGCACCGGCUAACUACGUG